GAGUUGAUGAAAACGGAGCAGAUCACAGACUAAGAAGACGUCUACACAGGCGAGUCUACACUGUACGGGGACCAAACCAUCUCUGGCACAUUGAUGGCAAUCAUAAACUGAUAAGGUGGGGAUUUAUUAUUCACGGAGGAGUUGAUGGAUUAAGUCGUCUUCCAGUCUACAUGAAAUGUUCU